GAUAAUUGAUUUUUAUAGAUCAUGAGCGGUAUCUAGCAAUACAUCAUGACCACCCAAAUGUUAGAGAGUCAAUUAAAGAAUUUAACAAAGCCCUUUAAUAAUAAGUCUCUCAGUGCAAUACAGUCCUUUCAUCAAAUAUCUCGGAUAUGUCAUAAAAUAUGACUCAGUGUCUACUUAUAACAUUUCAUAUUAGUUCUCAUAAUUCAUGAUUAACCUUAUGAAUUUAGGAAACUAACUUUUCUCAAAUUCAUCAAGCUUUGGCCAAAAACUUUAUACAAGUUAAUCAAUAAUUGUGAACAAGUGAGAUACAUCCCUUUAUAUUAUUUGGGGUGAUAAAUCCUCUCUUGACCACUCAUUCACCUUUGCAUGCUUCAUCCGUAGGGAUAAAAUUAAAGUAUGUCAUUUCCCAUACAAGAUGACCUGGUGUCUCAAGUCGAAGGACUAAUUGCACAACUAUCAUAUGAGAACAUAUUUAAUAGACACUUGAGUAAAAUAUCAGAUGGAGUUCUCAUAGCGGGUCAUGUUAAGUGAACUUGUUCUUUAACAAGCACCUACAUGCUAUCUUCAAGUAUCUCAUAUACUUCAAUUUAUGAGAUCGAUUGCUUACUUUUUAAAAAAAGAGACUUAACAUGUAUCAGUCUUUGAGCAAUGUCAAUGCCUUGUCUUGUCAAUACAAUGAUCAGGAACAAUUUU
rnacentral:lncRNA from 1 species